rnacentral:misc_RNA from 1 species
GAUGAAGAACGCAGCAAAAUGCGAUAAGUAAUGUGAAUUGCAGAAUUCAGUGAAUCAUCGAAUCUUUGAACGCACAUUGCGCCCGCCAGUAUUCUGGCGGGCAUGUCUGUUCGAGCGUCAUUUCAACCCUCAAGCACAGCUUGGUGUUGGGACUCGCGUUAAUUCGCGUUCCCCAAAUUGAUUGGCGGUCACGUCGAGCUUCCAUAGCGUAGUAGUAAAACCCUCGUUACUGGUAAUCGUCGCGGCCACGCCGUUAAACCCCAACUUCUGAAUGUUGACCUCGGAUCAGGCAGGAAUACCCGCUGAACUUAAGCAUAUCAAUAAGCGGAGGA